UAGGGAAUCUUCGGCAAUGGACGAAAGUCUGACCGAGCAACGCCGCGUGAGUAAAGAAGGUUUUCGGAUCGUAAAACUCUGUUGUUAGAGAAGAACAAGGACGUUAGUAACUGAACGUCCUCUGACGGUAUCUAACCAGAAAGCCACGGCUAACUACGUGCCAGCAGCCGCGGUAAUACGUAGGUGGCAAGCGUUGUCCGGAUUUAUUGGGCGUAAAGCGAGCGCAGGCGGUUUCUUAAGUCUGAUGUGAAAGCCCCCGGCUCAACCGGGGAGGGUCAUUGGAAACUGGGAGACUUGAGUGCAGAAGAGGAGAGUGGAAGUCCAUGUGUAGCGGUGAAAUGCGUAGAUAUAUGGAAGAACACCAGUGGCGAAGGCGGCUCUCUGGUCUGUAACUGACGCUGAGGCUCGAAAGCGUGGGGAGCAAACAGG
rnacentral:rRNA from 1 species